CAAGAGCGUAUGUAAAAGUUGUUGCAGUUAAAAAGCUCGUAGUUGAACCUUGGGUUUGGUUGGCCGGUCCGCUUUUUUGCGAGUACUGGAUUCAACCGAGCCUUUCCUUCUGGCUAACCAGUCGUUUCGGCGGCUGGCGAACCAGGAUUUUUACUUUGAGAAAAUUAGAGUGUACAAAGCAGGCAUUAGCUUGAAUAUAUUAGCAUGGAAUAAUAGAAUAGGACGUUAUGGUUCUAUUUUGUUGGUUUCUAGGACCAUCGUAAUGAUUAAUAGGGACGGUCGGGGGCAUCAGUAUUCAGUUGUCAGAGGUGAAAUUCUUGGAUUUACUGAAGACUAACUACUGCGAAAGCAUUUGCCAAGGACGUUUUCAUUAA
rnacentral:rRNA from 1 species